rnacentral:rRNA from 1 species
GGAGCCGUUGUUGUCCGACUCUGUUGCCUCCGGGGCGACCCUGCCUUCGGGCGGGGGCUCCGGGUGGACACUUCAAACUCUUGCGUAACUUUGCAGUCUGAGUAAACUUAAUUAAUAAAUUAAAACUUUUAACAACGGAUCUCUUGGUUCUGGCAUCGAUGAAGAACGCAGCGAAAUGCGAUAAGUAAUGUGAAUUGCAGAAUUCAGUGAAUCAUCGAAUCUUUGAACGCACAUUGCGCCCCCUGGUAUUCCGGGGGGCAUGCCUGUUCGAGCGUCAUUUCACCACUCAAGCCUCGCUUGGUAUUGGGCAACGCGGUCCGCCGCGUGCCUCAAAUCGUCCGGCUGGGUCUUCUGUCCCCUAAGCGUUGUGGAAACUAUUCGCUAAAGGGUGUUCGGGAGGCUACGCCGUAAAACAACCCCAUUUCUAAGGUUGACCUCGGAUCAGGUAGGGAUACCCGCUGAACUUAAGCAUAUCAAUAAGCGGAGGAA